UACGUAGGGAGCAAGCGUUGUUCGGAUUUACUGGGCGUAAAGGGUGCGUAGGCGGCGCGGUAAGUCGGGUGUGAAAUCUCGGAGCUUAACUCCGAAACUGCAUUCGAUACUGCCGUGCUUGAGGACUGGAGAGGAGACUGGAAUUUACGGUGUAGCGGUGAAAUGCGUAGAUAUCGUAAGGAAGACCAGUGGCGAAGGCGGGUCUCUGGACAGUUCCUGACGCUGAGGCACGAAGGUCAGGGGAGCAAACGGG
rnacentral:rRNA from 1 species